UUAAUCUUUUUUUUAAACAAUCAUUGUUGUCAAAGAAACGCACAUUGUUGUUAUCAUUUUUUCAUAAUAUGGCAUAUAAUAUAUAUUGUUGACAAAAUAACACUAUCAACUGAACUGCGCUCGGAAUCGUUUUUCGUCAAGCAAUGGUUUAUUGUUGCUUACAGAUACACAUUAAAUUCCUGUCUGUAUCGUAUAUUCCCAACUUCCUCACACAGUGGCUGCGCCCAUGUGCGAGGCAUAUCGGUCUUUUUUUAGAAUUGUUAUUAC